rnacentral:rRNA from 1 species
UCAGGAUGAACGCUGGCGGCGUGCCUAACACAUGCAAGUCGAACGGAGUAAUUAAGCGGAAGUUUCGGAUGGAAGCAUAGUACUUAGUGGCGGACGGGUGAGUAACGCGUGGGCAACCUGCCCUGUACCGGGGGAUAACACUUAGAAAUAGGUGCUAAUACCGCAUAAGCGCACAGCUUCGCAUGAAGGUGUGUGAAAAAACUCCGGUGGUACAGGAUGGACCCGCGUCUGAUUAGCUAGUUGGUGGGGUAGAGGCCUACCAAGGCGACGAUCAGUAGCCGGCCUGAGAGGGUGACCGGCCACAUUGGGACUGAGACACGGCCCAAACUCCUACGGGAGGCAGCAGUGGGGAAUAUUGCACAAUGGGGGAAACCCUGAUGCAAGCGACGCCGCGUGAGUGAAGAAGUAUUUCGGUAUGUAAAGCUCUAUCAGCAGGGAAGAAAAUGACGGUACCUGACUAAGAAGCCCCGGCUAACUACGUGCCAGCAGCGGC